UACGUAGGGUGCAAGCGUUGUCCGGAAUUAUUGGGCGUAAAGAGCUCGUAGGCGGUUUGUUGCGUCGGCUGUGAAAUCCCCGAGGCUCAACCUCGGGUCUGCAGUCGAUACGAGCAAACUAGAGUGUUGCAGGGGAGACUGGAAUUCCUGGUGUAGCGGUGAAAUGCGCAGAUAUCAGGAGGAACACCGGUGGCGAAGGCGGGUCUCUGGGCAACAACUGACGCUGGAGGAGCGAAAAGCGUGGGGAGCGAACAGG
rnacentral:rRNA from 1 species